CCUUCUCCUCUCCUCUCAGAUUCCAGCUGAACAAGGUCAGACUUAUGCAUCAGAAGUUAAUGCCAUAUUUGGAGAGACUAGUGCCCUCACUGCUAGGAAUGUUGAGGAAAUGUUCAUUGAAAUAAAUACCCUGUUCCCAGUCCUCAUGGGGUGGAGUAGGCAGACUGGUGAGAGUUGGGCCAGUCAAAAUGUUUUAAACCUGACCUCCAGUUCUCAAGACUGGACUGCCUGCUCCUGUCCCAUCAGUGUUACAUCUAGCCAGCAUUGAUGAAUGUGUGCAUGAUGAGGAACUGGUCUAAGACUGUACCAGUUGGACUGGGAAUGAAUAUUGGGCUCCUUGACUCGAGAUCAGUUCCCUCUCAUAAGUGAUGAUUUGGUUAAUUCUCAUUAUUUAUUAUUAUGAUGUAUUGACAUGUUAUGUGCAGUUGCUGUGAUCGCAAUCACACCUGAUUGUGACUCCACACCCUCAUUAAUAAUUGAUGACUAUCCUACCAUAUUACCGGAAUUGUGCAGACAGUUUUCAGCUCCAGUAAUAAAGAGGGAGUGUCUGGUAGUAAGAGACUAUUACUGGUGGCCUUCAAUCAGUGAGACGUCUCUUUGAGUCUCUCAGGUACUCAUUAGUAUUUCAUUAAGAGGAACUCACAAACUCAGUUCUCACAAUCUACUGACAUUCAUAAUACAAUCAGCAACCUUUCAAACUAAUUAUCGCUCAUUAAAAUAGACUUAUGAGUUAGCAAUGGUAGAAGAAGGUGAGUUUGAUGAGAGAGUGUCCCUUAACAGUUCAGAGACUGAGCAUGAGGAGGAGCAGCUGCUGGGAAGAUCAGAUGAAAAGAAUGAGAGGUUGGAGCCAAUUGGUGUCAUUUAUCAAUCUCCCCAGUAUUUACAGUAUGGUACUCCGUUAAGUGGAAAAGAAUAUUUAUCAACAAGAGAAAACAAGUUGACUCCAGUAUCAGAUGCUAAUCCAUCAGUGAUACAGUUAUAAUUAUUAUUACAAGAAUUACAACCAGAACCAACUGAUAUCAUCUAUAACACGUGCAGAGUAUCAUAAGUUGUGUUGAUCUAAUGAGUUCUUCAUUUUUAUUAUCUUUUAAAUCAAGUUUAUUUGAAUCUCCUGAUAAUUUUGCUCUUGUUCGUCUCCAGCUCACUCAAUCAUUAUAUUAUAAGUUAUUAACGUUAAUUAUCAUUGAUGAGGAGAAGAAGCAAAAGCUUUCAACCAAAAAGUAGAUGUCAAUACAGCUAAUGUUGGAACACGGUUAUUUUCAUAAGUCGCUUUUUGCACUGUCAGCAGAAAUGGUCUUAUUUUCGUACAGUUCACACAGCAGAGUGUUUCCAUGGAUAUUAUCAGUUAUUGAUUUCAUUGUUAUCAUUUUUUAAAAGUUAUUGAGAUUAUCAUUAAAGUGGAGCCGUCAUUCCCUCAUGCUAUAGUGAAGCAUUUGAGCGAAAUUGAGGAAAUGGUCCUAUCAUGAUCAUCUUUAGCCCAGCAGUCCUGUUCUCCAUUAUUUGAUGCCAUUCAUUCCAUUGGGUCUGUACCUAGUUACAGUGAUGUCAUGUUGCCUAACAACCCGAUAAUAAUGACCACACUCACCUUGAUUUUCUCACCUUAAAAGGGAUUCAAGUCCUGUUGUGUCUCCUCUACCUUCAGUGAGGGAGCGUUAUUCUUCUCCUAGUUCUGUUACUUCACAUCGUCAGCUCUUCACUGCUAGAAAGAAUGGCUCAGGCUCUCCUCUAAAGUCAUCAGUUAGUGCCGGGUUAAGUAAACCACACCCCCUAAACCACCUCAAGGAGUCGUACAGGGUAAUCGUAAAGGCCCUGUUAAAAGAUAGAAUUUAGAGAAUGAGGAAGACUAUGGAAACUAUCAGCCAUCAAGGGAAGCACUACCAAAAACUGCUUUCCAGUAUGGAGUUAAAAUGAAUGAUGGUCGUAAGACUCGUAGACAAGGUGUCAAGAAUGAGAAAGCUAAACUGGACAGAGAAUGGCAGCAGAUCAGUGAGCUCUAAGUUACCACCAGAUUGUUUAACUAGUUUACCAGCUGGUGCCUCUCUCUUAA
rnacentral:lncRNA from 1 species